AUGACAUAAUUAGCUACUUUAGCUCCAAAAUGACAUAAUUAGCUUAGUUAGGUAAUAAACAUCACAAUAACUUUGUUAGCUCAUAACUUAGCGUAUCUUCCUCCUAAAUGACAUAAUAAUCUCAAUAAGAAAAGAAUUGUAAUCAUCCUCUUCCUCUUCUUCCCCUUCUUCUUCUUCUCCUCCUCCUCCUCCCCCUCCUCCUCCUUCUCCUUCUUCUUCUCCUUCUUCUUCUCCUUCUUCUUUUUCUUCUUCUUCUUCUCCUC
rnacentral:lncRNA from 1 species